AGGGUAGGACUUCGAUUGGCAGGAGAAAGGGGUUGGCCCAGGCUGCCCGUGCAGAAGUGAAGGUUAUUGUCGUCUGCGCGCAUUGCCGUGGCGGGUUUCUCGUGGAAAACCACGCCAUCCAGGGUGAGCGGCAUUCUAGCGACAGCCCCUGGGCGGUUAUUUCUUCAAUGCGACAACUAAUUAUAGAAGCACCGGAGAGCGGGCUCCGACAUCUUGACGGGGCGGAUUUUAGGUGAUCAAGGCGGGAAGAGUAAAACCAAUUUUCACUGCAGGUAUCGAGCCAAUAAAUGAAUACCUCAAUGAAUACGCGGCCUCCAGCCUGGGGGUAGUUUUCUGGAGUUCAGAAAAGGCGCACAGAAAGCGGGCGAAAUGUUUCCAGGCGCCUCAUUUUGUCGCAGCGUGGCGGGAGGUGUUACCGCACACCAAAGCCA
rnacentral:sRNA from 1 species